UAACGAUCUCGUUAUGGCGAGGCUCCUAUACAAACAUAAGUUACCGCCCUGAUGGUAUCGAGAGAGACCACACAGGGAAAUACAGGCAUCCAUCGAAUCAAGGUGUUGCCAAGGUAACUUUCAGUAAAAUCAAGAUAUUGCUGAAUACGUUGUAUAGUGCUAAACCCAAGACGUAGGGAUCUAUU
rfam:Hafnia alvei FB1, complete genome.